UACGAAGGACCCAAGCGUUAUCCGGAUUUAUUGGGUUUAAAGGGUGCGUAGGCGGGCUAUUAAGUCAGUGGUGAAAGCUCCGAGCUUAACUCGGAAACUACCAUUGAUACUGACGGUCUUGAGUACAUUUGAGGUGGGCGGAAUGUGUCAUGUAGCGGUGAAAUGCCUAGAUAUGACACAGAACACCGAUUGCGAAGGCAGCUCACUAAACUGUAACUGACGCUGAGGCACGAAAGCGUGGGUAGCGAAUGGG
rnacentral:rRNA from 1 species